rnacentral:lncRNA from 1 species
UAUGGGCUGAAAGAAAAAGGGUUGUGGGUCGGGAUGGUUCUCUCUUUGUUUACCUGUGCUGACCAGGGUAAAUUGAUGCCAACAUCAAUGGUUCCAUCAAUUAGGAAUGACAUGAAUACAUUCAAUCAAUAAAUUCUACCAUUACAGUAUCAAUACAUUCGAACCUAUCAAUGAAUCAAUCAAUACGGUCAUCUUCUGCAGUUCAUUAGUUAUGUAGUCGAUUAGGGUUUGAAGGUCAUUAGAGAUACACUCUAGGUGUUCGAUGAAAUGUCUGGGUAGAAUUUGUUUUGCGAUCCAACAAGUUUACAUUAUUUUGUAUAUUUCAUAUUUUAUGUUAUACUAA